UGUUCGUUAUUUAGGGCGCAUGGUGGAUGCCUUGGCAUGCUGAGCCGAUGAAGGACGUGAAAGGCUGCGUUAAGCCUCGGGGAGUUGUCAAUUGAGCGUUGAUCCGAGGAUGUCCGAAUGGGGAAACCUGGCACCUGUUAUGGGGUGUUACCCUUCAGUGAAUUCAUAGCUGUUGUGGGGGUUACGCGGGGAAGUGAAACAUCUCAGUACCCGUAGGAGAAGAAAAUAAUAAUGAUUCUGCUAGUAGUGGCGAACGAACGUGGAUGAGGCUAAACCGUGUGCAUGUGAUACCUGGUAGGGGUUGUGUGUGCGGUGUUGUGGGCCCUGAUGAGGAUGGCUACUGACGUCCUGCCCGCGCAUUGUUGUUAGGUGAAGUGGUGUGGAAACGCCUGCCGUAGAAGGUGAUAGUCCUGUAGCUGAAGAUGAUGGUGUGUGGGUUGUUGGGUUGCCCGAGUAGCAGCGGGCUCGUGGAAUCUGCUGUGAAUCUGCCGGGACCACCCGGUAAGCCUAAAUACUCAGUGUGACCGAUAGUGGAUAGUACCGUGAGGGAAUGGUGAAAAGUACCCCGGGAGGGGAGUGAAAUAGUUCCUGAAACCAUGUGCUUACAAUCCGUCAGAGCACUUUUUGUGUGUGAUGGCGUGCCUUUUGAAGAAUGAGCCUGCGAGUCAGCGGCAUGUCGCGAGGUUAACCCGUGUGGGGUAGCCGUAGGGAAACCGAAUCCUAAUGGGGUGUUUAGUGGCAUGUCCUGGACCCGAAGCGGGGUGAUCUACCCAUGGCCAGUGUGAAGCAGCAGUAAGAUGCUGUGGAGGCGCGAACCCACGUAGGUUGAAAACUGCGGGGAUGAGCUGUGGGUAGGGGUGAAAGGCCAAUCAAACUCCGUGAUAGCUGGUUCUCCCCGAAAUGCAUUUAGGUGCAGCGUCGCAUUAGCUUGGUGGAGGUAGAGCUACUGGUUGGUUGAGCGGGACUACAAUCUUAGCAAUGUCAGCCAAACUCCGAAUGCCAUUAAUGUGUUGUGCGGCAGUGAGACUGUGGGGGAUAAGCUUCAUAGUCGAGAGGGAAACAGCCCAGAUCGCCGGUUAAGGCCCCUAAGGGUGUGCUAAGUGGAAAAGGAUGUGGGAUCGCGAAGACAGCCAGGAGGUUGGCUUAGAAGCAGCCAUCCUUGAAAGAGUGCGUAAUAGCUCACUGGUCGAGUGGUUCUGCGCCGACAAUGUAGUGGGGCUCAAGCACACCGCCGAAGCUGCGGCAAUAAUAUUUUGUUAUUGGGUAGGGGAGCGUCGUGCAUGUGUUGAAGCGUUACCGUGAGGAGGCGUGGAGUGUGUGCGAGUGAGAAUGCAGGCAUGAGUAACGAAUUGGAAGGUGAGAAUCCUUCCCGCCGGAUGACUAAGGGUUCCUGGGUCAAGUUCGUCUUCCCAGGGUGAGUCGGGACCUAAGGCGAGGCCGACAGGCGUAGUCGAUGGAUAACCAGUUGAUAUUCUGGUACCCGAGUAUAUGCGCCCCUGAUAAAGCACUGAUACUAACCACCGUGCGUUACUGUGGUUGACCCUUUGGGGUUAACAUGGUGGCAAGCCGUGGGGCCUGAUGUGUGGUUCAAGCGAUGGGGUGACACAGUGGGGUAGCCAUGCCGCUUAGUGGAUUGUUGGUGUAAGCGUGUAGGUGAUGGUGUAGGUAAAUCCGCACUUGUUAUGCUGAGACGUGAUGCGUAGCCUUAAUUGGUGAAGUUGGUGAUCCCGUGCUGUCGAGAAAAGCCUCUAGCGAUGUAUAUACUCGGCCCGUACCCCAAACCGACACAGGUAGUCAGGUUGAAAAUACUAAGGCGUUCGGGUGAACUGUGGUUAAGGAACUCGGCAAAAUGCCCCCGUAACUUCGGGAGAAGGGGGACCCUAUGGCGUGAACAC
rnacentral:rRNA from 1 species